rfam:Zea mays cultivar B73 chromosome 7, whole genome shotgun sequence.
ACUCUAGUAUUGAUCUCAAUCUACAUGUAUUGAGGUGGAUUAGGGUGUAACUUAACUAAUUUACACCAUAAUCCACCUCAAUACAUGUGGAUUGAGGUCAAUGCUAGA